CUGCUUCUACAGAAAUGUCCUUCUUUGCCUUA
rnacentral:piRNA from 1 species